ACGGCAUAAGAAAGAGCUGUCUUCCAAUGGGAAUUGAAUGGGAAGUUACUAGGAAAUGGAUCAGGGCCCUGGUAAGCUCAAGAGAACACGAAUUUUCUGCCAAGAGCAGCCACGUUUUUCUUUUCUGAUUUUCUAGCUGGCUGCCUCACUCACAGCUUUCUCUGCAACGGGUGCCUCCACAAUUGUGAUAGAGAAUGACAUGCCCCAGCAUAAUGCCUCAACCCAAGUGUCAACCUACCCUUGACAGAGAAGAGAACCCCAAAUGAAUCUCCCAAGACCUACUUGGAAAGUAGACGUGGUUUACUGCAAAUCUCUCCCUGCCUGCCCCAGGAUGUUGUCAAGAUGUAUUAAACAGCAAAGGAGGGGAGGAAAAUAAGUUCUGGGAGAUCUGCUGGUAUAGAAAAGUGGGACAGUGUGCUGGGCCCUCGUCUUCCACCCCGGGAGGCUGACAGUAUGGACCACAUCCGUGGGAUCUCUGGAUUCUGGUUGAGUCUGCCAGAGAGAGUCAGGCUCCCUCCCUGAUUCUCCCUGUGGAAAAUCACAUCGGACUGGCUCUGGCCCUUGACCAAAAGUCAUUGUGUUUCUCAAAACAGCCUGCUUUAUACAGCUUUCUCCAGGGUUCCAGUAACUGCAUCCUUCCCCUGCCCUCCCGGUUCAGGGUGGUAAGGGCUCUGCUAUUUCUCCUGAGUUGCAGUGUCAUCUCCUAUAGUUCCCUGCACCUCAUUCUCUCUUGUGUAAAAUGUCACUAAUUAAAUAUCCUUCGAUGCCCCUAACUUGAAUGUGUCUUAAGACCCAAACUGAUACAGACAAGGUGAUUGCAAAUGUCAGGUGAAGCUUUGACUCCUGGUUCCAGCACUGUCAAAAGCCUUGGGAAAGAACAUUUCAUGUCUCUGUAUCUCAGUGGUCUCAACUGUAAAAUGGGAAGAAAACAACACAACUAUGACGGCCUACCUGAGCAUCAGAUGUGUCCAUGUAAGGAAAGUACCCAGAGACGUCCUGGUUAUACAGUAGGAGCACAAGGAAUACAAGUCCUCCCCCUUUCAUGCCAUUUUUCCCCUCUCCAACACUUCCUCCUGUCUUGUAACAAUGGGAGGCUUUGGACGAUUUAAAGGCUCUUCUCCGUUGCAUGAGUCAGAAACAAGUAACAAAACCAAGUGAUAAAUUUACGUGGACCACAGACAGACGCCUUUUUGUGCUUGUCAAUAAAAUGUUUAAAAUAGAACUUGAUUUGCUUUCGCUUUAAAGAAGGUUAUUAACUUGCUUAGAUUUACCCGAGGAACAGAGGCAGGUGUUGUUCCCCAUUACUCACUAGGUCUUUAAUCAGCAUCCAGG
rnacentral:lncRNA from 10 species